GUUCAAAGAAAUUAGAGAAAGUUUGGAGAGUUUUGGAACGAGAAACAUUACAUUUUUGUUGUAUCCAUUUGAGAUGAAGAAAGAAAAUGUGUAAAUUUUCUUUAUAAAUAGAAACAAAAAUUUCAAUAAGAUUAAAUUUUUUCGAUUCAGAAGACUUUCAAGUAAGUAUUCUAAUAUAAGACUUCCUAGAAACUUACUUGAAAAUCUUUUAGAAGCUAGAAUAUUUUUAGCGGGAAACUAAAAUAUUUUAACGGGAGACUAA
rnacentral:lncRNA from 1 species